GAAACCUGCUGUGUGUGAAUCCUCAGUCAACCAGGCUCUAAAGAACUACAUUUAACCUACAUUCAACCAAUCAGAAACCUCCCAACGCUAGGACUCCACAAUAUGCAGUCAUAACCUCAGACAAGCUUAAGAAUGGUGGAGAUGAAACUUGAAUUAGAGCAGAAUACCACCCAUUUCUAUUCUGAGCCAAAACGAACCUGGAUUCUUGGGUAGGAUGGCAAGAGCUGUAUAAUACCCUCCUCCAAGCUAAAUUUCUAGAGGCACGAGGCAUCCCAAAAGGAAAACAAGGACGACAGCCAGAGUGACUCUACUCACCUGGGGGUAGAAAGAGGGCUCCCCGGAGGCGGCCUUCCUUCACCGGGAUCCUUGUGACACCAGGUGCCACAUACCAUCUUUCCAAAGUCAGGCUGUCCAUCGGUGGACUGACAGCUAUACCUUUUAUUGGAAAGUGUGGCUCAGAAAGUUCUAUGUGAACCUGGUAGGGGAUAUUCACAUCUUUUUUCGCCAGACGACUCAACAGCUUUUCGGGUUUCAUGGACCAAAACAGACCCAUGGGGUGGACACCCAUAUAGUCUCCUCCAAGUGAGGGAUCACGCUCCAGGUCCACCUCCCCCAUUUCACUGGCCUUGUAGUAGGCCUUCGAACCAAACAGAUUCCCCUUCUCAUCUUUCAGGGAUGCCUGGAGGCACACCACCUGAAAGGGUGCCAGGCCUGUGACUUGGAUGUGCACAGGCUCAUCGACAAGUGCGCUAAGAGGAGUGGCUAUCAGCUUGGCCAUGUUUGCAGUGGCAAUCUGGAACAAGUCUUCAGAAAUAGCUUCACCAAAACCUCAAAACAGAAAGAGACAGAAAUGAAACACAGUGGCAAUAAGGUUAGUGAAUGACGAAAAGGAACAAGAGGUAGAUCUCUUAGGAUUCAGUUUUAACCCAGCAUUGAUUUGUUGCAAAUACACUGUGAUAAUUUUGUAAUCAACAGCUUUCUGGAAGAGCGAUUUUGACAGAUUUCUAGAAGCUAGAGAGCAUAGGUGCUAGAAGUUCAAGCAGCACUCCAACUUUGCAUGAAUAUCGGGACAUGAAGGAGGAUAUCUCCAUCUCAUUUGUACACAAGUCUGGGAAAACCAGGAUCGAGAUGUGAAGUCGAAAACACGCUGAUUUGACUGAACAGCUCCCUGAGCAGAAUAGGUAAUCUAUUCCUAAUCUCUUCCAUGGGAACAUGUGUCUUCUGUCUAAGAGAAAAAAAGAUACAACUGUCACUUUGAUUUGGAGAAUUAGUCCUAAAACAACAUUAGAAACAUAUAAGACCUUCAAGUGUCCUGAAGUCUCGCUGAAAUGUUUAUCUGCUUGCCCUUAAGUGUUGACCCAGGAGUGACCACUCUUCCCAAGAACCAACACUCUCAUCAGAUUUUUAUCUAUUUCUUUGGUUGUUCUGUUGUUUUCAUUUUAACUCAUUUUCCUGAGAAUGCCACUGAUCUAAAUGAAUCAAAUCCAGCAUGUGACAAAAUUGCUACUCCUAGGAGGCGAGAAAAUGUCCCUCCUACUCUGCUACUCAUUUAGGAUAAAACGACAAAGAGGAACCUUGCAGAGAGAAAUGAGAAUAAGAGAAAAAGGGAUGUACUUUUCAAUGAGUGCUGGGAUGGAACUCUGAGAAACUCCCCCUUCAGAGCAUGUCUCCACGCAUCCAUGUCUACAAGGGAGCAAAGAAAGGUCCCUGUGCCAAGGAAGCCAGGAGUAUUACCACAGAGUCCCUAGUGACCCUUCUUCCAGAACUCUAAAUCAGAAGGUUUCGUUUUAAAAGGCUACCAAAUGACUGUUAAAGUCAAAGAUCCUUGCAAGGAGUUCAUGAACACUGAGAAUCCAGGUUCUUCUGAGGAGAGAAGGCUUCAACCCACCAUCAAAAAUUGGUGAAGUCAGUGUGUGCUUAAAUCAGUAAUCCUGGUUGUCAACUUGACUGAUCUGGAGUCAACUAAGAGACAAGCAGCUGGCCACUCUACUGAGGAAUUUUCGUGAACAAAUAUCUCCAGAAGGAAGUGACCAUACAUGUGGGCAGAACCCAUGCAGAAGGAAGGUUUGGCUUUCUGUCUGCCUGUCUUUGCCACUGGCAAGUACACCUAUCCUGCUCCUGCCGUUGCUGCAUUGCUUCCCUCAUAUGAGGACCAGCUUCUGCAGGCUGCCAGCAUGGUCUGGAGAUGAGCAUUCUCCAAAGAAUCCUCCAGGCCCUCAGCAGCAGGCUGGCGAAGACAGUCAGCCUCGUGGACUAGCAUUCCUGGGUUCUCAGCUCCUCCAGUAUGGAAAAGCCACUGAUGGACUACCUAGAUCUUAAUGCAAGCUAAUCUGAUAAAUUCCUUUUACAUAUGUAUUCAUGCUAUCACUUCUGUUCCUCUCAAGAGCCCUGACUAUAAAGAUCAGAAUAAGAACAUUACAUAAAUUACCAAAACUUGAUUUUAUUGGGAGUUGGGGGAACAGCUUUGGCAAAUGUGAAAAUGUUUUCUUUGAUUCUCCAUGAGGAAAAAAGAUAUAUUCUUCUAUAGGAAGAAACAAAAAAGUAAAGGGAGGUUUGAGAAGAGUUCUGAAGGGUAAACACUUCACAAGGUUUGCCAGCCACCUCAGUGAGGAGAGUACAUCUCAGUGCCGUCAACUGCUGACCUGCUCAGUAACCCCAACUGAUUUUCAAAUUGGGAGGCAAAUUACCGGCAACGAGUUCAUCAAAUUUAGAUCUGUCUUGAACUGAUGGAACAUUAUAGAAGUCAAGAACGUCUCCGACCCUGCACAUCUGGUGAAGCCUGGAGUUAGGCACUGCAUGGCCCAAGUCAUCAGCUAAACGUGUCAAGAGUCUGAACUUCACAUGACCAUCAUCCAGGGAGAUGUCUUGCCAAUUACUGGGAAGAGAUGAACCAAGCACUUCUUUAAGACAGGAUUCCAAGCGACUCUGGAGAUCGUCGGGAGGUGUGUACACUCGGCUUCGUAAGGGUGGACACACCAAAACAGGUUCUGUCUUCACUUCUUCCACUGCCUCAGCCACCACUGGUUCCUUCUCCUUUCUGGAAUGAUCAAAAACAAACAUGUGAAUCUUGGACUGAUUAUCUUAAUGAACCUAAUAAACAUUGGACUGAAUCUUGCCUUGAAUCAAAAUCAAA